rnacentral:rRNA from 1 species
UGACGGUACCUGACUAAGAAGCUCCGGCUAAAUACGUGCCAGCAGCCGCGGUAAUACGUAUGGAGCAAGCGUUAUCCGGAUUUACUGGGUGUAAAGGGAGCGUAGGCGGUGAUGCAAGUCAGAAGUGAAAACCCGGGGCUCAACCCCGUGGAUUGCUUUUGAAACUGUCUAGCUGGAGUGCAGGAGAGGUAAGCGGAAUUCCUGGUGUAGCGGUGAAAUGCGUAGAUAUCAGGAAGAACACCGGUGGCGAAGGCGGCUUACUGGACUGUAACUGACGUUGAGGCUCGAAAGCGUGGGGAGCAAACAGGAUUAGAUACCCUG